rnacentral:rRNA from 1 species
GACAGAGGGUGCAAACGUUGCUCGGAUUUACUGGGCGUAAAGCGCGUGUAGGCGGAUGGGUAAGUCAGAUGUGAAAUCCCUGGGCUCAACCUAGGAACUGCACCUGAAACUGCCCAUCUGGAGUAGUGGAGAGGAGAGCGGAAUUCCUGGUGUAGCGGUGGAAUGCGCAGAUAUCAGGAGGAACACCUAUAGCGAAGGCAGCUUGCUGGGACGUUACUGACGCUAAGGCGCGAAAGCGUGGGGAGCGAACAGG